AAAACAAAAAAUAAAACAAA
rnacentral:miRNA from 1 species